UCAUCAGAUCUUUGUUUCUUCUUUUUUUUUUUUGCUUUUUGGUUAUGUUUUUUCUCGAUUUAGACAAAAACCCUAGACUUGAUUUUCCAAAAGGUGUCUUAAAUAGUAUCUCUUUCCUCUAUUCAUAUAUCUCUGGAGAUGGAAGAACUGCGAGUGAAUGAGUUGGGACAAAAGAAAAACAUAGCAACUGACAGAAGAGAGUGAGCACACAAAGGUAAUUUGCAUAUACUGCAUUUACUUCUCUUGCGUGCUCACUGCUCUUUCUGUCAGAUUCUAGUGCUGAUCUCUUUGGCCUGUCCUUGUUCUCUUUGUCUCAAUCUCUCUCUCUCUCUCUCUCUCACAUACACAAUCUCUCUACUUCUCUUGUUCAUCUCAAACAAAGGUAAGCUUAAUAUGCGAUUUAAACGAUGGCUUGUUCCUUGUAUAGAUUUUGGUUCGAUCUGAUUGCAUGCGAGGUGAGAGCUUUAAACUUUCACCAUUCAUUAUACUUUAAUGUAUGGGUAGUAUCGAGAAAGCUUAAUCUAUGAGUUUACGCGUGGUUAAAUGAAAUUAAGCAUGUCAA